rnacentral:rRNA from 1 species
UAGGGAAUUUUCGUCAAUGGGGGGAACCCUGAACGAGCAAUGCCGCGUGUGUGAAGAAGGUCUUCGGAUCGUAAAGCACUGUUGUAAGUGAAGAAUGCCAUAUAGAGGAAAUGCUAUGUGGGUGACGGUAGCUUACCAGAAAGCCACGGCUAACUACGUGCCAGCAGCCGCGGUAAUACGUAGGUGGCAAGCGUUAUCCGGAAUCAUUGGGCGUAAAGGGUGCGUAGGUGGCACGAUAAGUCUGAAGUAAAAGGCAACAGCUCAACUGUUGUAUGCUUUGGAAACUGUCGAGCUAGAGUGCAGAAGAGGGCGAUGGAAUUCCAUGUGUAGCGGUAAAAUGCGUAGAUAUAUGGAGGAACACCAGUGGCGAAGGCGGUCGCCUGGUCUGUAACUGACACUGAUGCACGAAAGCGUGGGGAGCAAUAGGAUUAGAUACC